rnacentral:lncRNA from 1 species
AAAAACCUUACGUCUGCCUUGGAGAGCAAGAUCACCCGGUCCUCUGGGACGGCGUGGGUUCUCGUGCACGGCUCAGUGUUGCUUUGUUGAAACGUGCAUAAAAUGCAUUGAGUUCGUCUGGUAAAGAGGUAUCGUAAUAGGAUUCAACCUUGUUCCUUUAGAGGGCGUAAUUUACCUUUUCUCAUUUAAAUCAUAAGACCACAUAACCAAAUUAAUGUAUACACCUUUAUAUAAAAAUGAAAUUAUUCUAAAGGGCGCAAUAUGACCUAAUAAACAGAUAUUUGCAUAACCAAAGAAAGAUAGAAACUGUCUCUAACAGGGGAAGAAAGAGAAGAUGGAAUGUGCGCUGUUUGUUUGUUUGUUUGUUUGUUGUAAUUUACAACUUCAUAUAAAGCUUGAGAGUUAAACGGAACUGCUUCAGCAAAGACACAUGGGAAAGGAGAAGUGUGUUGGUCUGGAAAUAACAGCUGAAUAGAAAGCAUGAGAAUGAGAUUCAAAUGUAGGGUGUGUCAGUGGCCCAGUGCUACCAAAGAUUUUAAUCUGGGUAUGAUCUACUAUGAAACUGAACUGCUAUAGCAAAGGAAUCCAAGCUGGACAAUUACCUAACAGUUAGUCUCUCGUGUCAUGACAGACUUCUAGGUUCCCGAGAUGACAGACUUCUAGGUUCCCGAGAUGACAGACUUCUAGGUUCCCGAGAUGACAGACUUCUAGGUUCCCGAGAUGACAGACUUCUAGGUUCCCGAGAUGACAGACUUCUAGGUCCCGAGAUGACAGACUUCUAGGUUCCCGAGAUGACAGACUUCUAGGUUCCCGAGAUGACAGACUUCUAGGUUCCCGAGAUGACAGACUUCUAGGUUCCGAGAUGACAGACUUCAAAGUCUAAAACGACAUUGUAUUUAUAAUAUUGAGUCGUCAUUUUUUUUGCUUUGCAUUGCAUUCAAAUUGAAGGCUUGAAUUCUUGAUUGGCUCUAGAAUAAACGUGAGAGUUUUAUACCGUGCCAUGACUUUUAGCUGCUGUCUUCCCAUUGUAAUAAUAUAGCUCGUAAAUAAUUACAAUAUUAUCAUAAUUAAAAAAAAUAAUAUCUCUUUUAUAUGUGGUUAUUUACAGUAAUUUAUUAGCUUAACUAGAAACAUUUGAUGGGUUUCACAUAUUAUGUC